CGACAGGGGAUCAGUUAAGGAAGACACACGCGAGCAGCCGUGGCCAUUGUUUCUACAUUCUCAUUUGGGAACAACAGCUGCAUGAUGCUGUUCUCUCACUCUGCGUAUUUGAAGAUAGUGGAACCUGGCGUGUGUUUGCUGGUCUGGCAGAUGGAACUGUAGCUGUGCUGGAUAUGGAAUAUAUUCUGUGCUCAUCUUUACAUGAUUACACCAGUGAUGGACACCUUUGUGGUGGCUGUCAUCUCAGCAGAGUGUUUCAUCUGAGGUGAAAAGAAACACAUAGUUUUCAACAUCUUUGCAGCUCUUCCAAGAUUAAACAUUUCACAUUUAACUCACUAAUGUACACUAGACGCUAUGGACAGCUUCACAGUGUCAUCCAACCCGUAUGAUCACAUUCUGACACUGCAACCUGGACUUCCGGGUGUCUGGAUCUCAGUGCGUGGAUCAUCAAUCUUAGAACUCUGGGAUCCUGACGCUUUGGUGUGCAAGAUGUUGUAUGACACUUGUGCAAGACGAUACCCUAAUCUUCGCAAAGAUGAUGAGAUGUACUUCAACAAAGCCAACAUUACUUGCAUCUGCAUCUUAACUACACAGUCUGGGUUGGAACAGGGGAGGGAAACUUGAUCACAUAUGUCUUCACACAUCAAGGCUCAAAGUCACCCUCAGACUGUUCCUCUUUCGUCGGUUCCUAUUCGGACAACUUUUCAGCCCUGAUGAGUAGGAAAGCGAUGAUGACCAAUCUGUCUUCUUGUGCUGAGGCUUACGAUCCUGUGCGGGAAGCUGCUAUGAAGGUAGAUGUGUCAAUUCUGAGUGGCAUAGAGAAUGUAUUAUUCCAAGAAUUGGCACUUAGGAAAAGUGACUUUUAAGAAUUAGAGAUAUAUUGCUUCAUUUAUACUGAUUACUUCAUUUAUACUUCAAAUAAUGUAAAACCAUAUCACGUCAACUAUCAUAUAAAUCUUGAUCCAAAGUGUGUGCAUACGCACACACAUUUCCUACACACAGAGAUUAUCUGUACUGUAAAUCUUGUGUUUAGGUGCGUCAGCAAUAUUAAGCCCAGGUAGACUCUGACACUGACUUUCUCUGACUAUCUGAGCGGAUUCUCUCCUGCAUCGACUCCUGAUAAGCAGUGGCAAUGAGUUAGUGACCCGGGGAGGACAAGAUUCCAGCAGAAUGUUUUUUACCAAGCUGACUAAUAAGUCAAAUAUCAGCGAGAACAAUUUAUUGCAAGAAACAAGUGUACUCACACUGCAUCAGGACAACCCCUAAGUCGGUGGAGGAGGUGUCCGUCCUUACGGUAAAUGGUUUUGCGAAAUUGGUUGUAUCACUGGUUCUGAUGACAUCGUUUUUAGCGUGUCUAGUGCUUGCUGGCACUCCUUCCUCCUUAUUUUAUUUUGCUGCCCCGCUUUGGUGUUGUUGGUUAGGUCUUAGGAGAUUCACUGUCGCUGCACCGUUAUCAAUGUCCUGAUACACUUCGGAGGUCUUACUCCGCAAGUUGCUCGGCUGUAACUGUCAGAACGGUCAAAACAUUAACACCUUCGGUAUUGAAAUUAUUCAGCGCUACCCUUCGGUAGGUAGCAUCGGUGAUAGCAUCCGUUAUACUCGUGCUGCUAAUACAGUGGAAGGUCCGUCCUCAUACACAGAUUUCCACUGCAUGCCUCUCAGAAGUAGAGUCCACAAGGGAUCGCAGUGAAUGUCUGCCGCCUCCGUGUUGCUCUAUUCACUUCUAUGUCUCACCGCUGAAUACACCGAUCGUUACAUAAAAGAUACCAAUGUGUCGGAGGUCUGUCACCUCAAGCAGCUCCACUCUGACUGUGAUUUCUAUAUGUUCCACAAACGAAAAUCGUACUAUGGCUUUCACGAAAGACCUGCCUGGUUCGGCGGUUCUAUGCAACAUUCUUGUGAGAGACAAACGCUUGAUUUUGCUCUUGCCUGUCUCCUCUUCUGUGGGAGCAUCGGCCAUGAGCAGACUCCCGCUACUAGGUUUUAACAGCAGCUCCAGAGAAGUGAAGCUGACUUCCUGUAAAAAUUUUCUCUGAGAUAUCAGAAAUUUACAUAAUUCCUGUGUCACCUGCACUCUACAGUGCCUUUCAGACGAGGGAGAUAAAUAAAUUAAAACACCGACAACCAUUUAAAUUUAAAAAAUAAUAUAAUUUGAAAUGAAAAGAAAACAAAAUAAAUCCAAAUUUCCCUACUCACACGUCCUAAAACAAGUUUCUUCUGUCUCAAAAUAUUCAAUGUUCUUGUCGACAAUGCAGUUCCUCACAAAGUCUCCACUUUAAAACAACACAAAAUCUACACUUGAAGUAGCACAAAGUUUCCACUUGAAAAUGAGACAAAGUAUCCACUGCCGUCGACGCCCUUCCUGAAAAUGUUAAUUCAACGAUGGCGGAUACGAAGAAUACGAGCAACAAACGAAAGAGAAAAACACAAAAAACCUGAAGAGGAAAAAAAACCAAACAAAA